GACCACAUCACGUUGAAACACCGGUUUCAUACGAUCACUAAAGUUAAGCAACGUCGAACCUGAUUAGUACCUAGAUGAGUGACCGCUUGGGAAUAUCAGGUGCUGUAAG